AGAGUUUGAUCCUGGCUCAGAACGAACGCUGGCGGCGUGCUUAACACAUGCAAGUCGAACGUGAUCAGGCCUUCGGGCCUGUGAAAGUGGCGCACGGGUGAGUAACACGUGGAUAAUCUACCCGAUGAUCCGGGAUAACAUUCCGAAAGGAGUGCUAAUACCGGAUAAGCCCACAAGCUCUUCGGAGCUUGCGGGAAAAGGGGGGGACCUUGACCGGCCUCCUGUCAUCGGAUGAGUCCGCGGCCCAUUAGCUAGUUGGUAGGGUAAUGGCCUACCAAGGCUACGAUGGGUAGCUGGUCUGAGAGGAUGAUCAGCCACACUGGAACUGAGACACGGUCCAGACUCCUACGGGAGGCAACAGUGGGGAAUUUUGCGCAAUGGGGGAAACCCUGACGCAGCAACGCCGCGUGAGUGAUGAAGGCUUUCGGGUCGUAAAGCUCUGUCAGAGGGGAAGAAAUGAGAUUGGCUAAUAUCCAAUUUUCUUGACGGUACCCUCAAAGGAAGCACCGGCUAACUCCGUGCCAGCAGCCGCGGUAA
rnacentral:rRNA from 1 species